GCCCCGGCUCAAGUUCUCUCCACUCCCCCUCCUCAUUGGCCACCAUCUUCCGGCCCCUGCCCCCCAGAGCAGCAGGGGCUGGGGCCCAGCCUGAGGAAGGGAGAGAAAGGGCAGGUGGGGGGUUAGCUGGAGCAGCAGGGGCAGGGGGCUGGCCCCAACUGUCUCCUCCCACCCCCUCCCCGCAGCCAUGGCGACGGGAGGAGGAGACCAGGAGGGUCCUGAAAGCCAUGUUCUGUGAAUGGGAUGAGAGGGCCAGCUGGGAAGUGGGGGGGCGAGGGGCGCUCUCCCUCAACACCCAACUGUGCCCAACGCACACCUCGGGGCUGGACCACACACACACACACACACACACACACACACACACACAAACUCAGCCGUACUCGCGGCAUACUCCGCCUUCACUACGAGAGCGGGAGCGAGGGUGCAGCCGCCCGCGCCCCAGCGCCCCUCAACGCCCCACAACUAGUAGCUCAAGGGCCUCACCCCCCUCGCCGCCGCGCGCAGCCCUGGGCUCACCCCCACAAGUUCUGGAGGCGCACAACUCUCUGCCCCGCGCCAACACCCUCGGCGCCCGCGACCCCUCGGCACACACCCACCAAGUCCCCAGAGUCCCACUCCCUCAACCCCCGAGCUCAGGCACCGACAGAUGGCUCGGCCUCGGCCGGGCCCCACGGAGACCCCCCCAACACACACACACACCCCAACCUCUUCCCCACCACGCCCCCCACUGGAAAAUGACAGUGAGGCCACCUCGGAGAGACAUGCCCGGUGCUUCCCACAUCCACUGUCGGGAAAGGAAAAAGAGCAGAGAUGCCCAGAGUGGAGGGUGAGGAGGGGGAGAAGCAGACGAGAGAAAGAGCCCAGACCACCGCCCGCCCCUCGCCCAGAGAGAAGAAAACCGAAAACCGGCGGCGUUACCCUUCUGGGAGCUCACGAUGGAAUGAAAUUUCUCAGAAGCAGUGGUCUGAAUGCCUUGCCUUAUACAGCAAAUCACUGGUUGGAUGCUGGAGUUGUUAAUUUCCAGGGACCUUGACUCCAGCUAGAACAUGCAUGACUUGGAGACCAAAGUUGAGGCUUCGGAGAAAGAUCCUGCACGGUCAUCAGAAUCCACACUGUGCCUGCUGUGCCGUGGUUUACCGGAAGCGUGGAUCCCCUCACAGCCGGCAUCCAGCCAGAGCCACCAAGAAGGUGACCCUCCCAAAGGGCUGACGGCGGCAAGCCUGGAUGCAGCACCCAGCUCGAUGCCCGUUACCACCCUGCCCUCGGUGCCUCAGUUUCUCCUUCUCAUCAGGGCAAUCUGAGAGAGCGAUGGGGAAGCCGGAUUUUGCAGGCAGCAGAGGUUUCCAGAAUGUGGGGCAGCUAUGGUGAGAGCACAGAUCCUGCUGGCUUUGGUGGCCUUACAGAAAACAGACCCUACAGAAAGCUCUCAGGCAGGACCAGCUGGACCUGAGCAGAGAGCCGACUUGGAAAUCAAAUCUGUCUCAUGUCAGGCAGGGGCUGGAUGAGUGUUUGUGGACUGAUGCCUGAAUGUCCACGUGUAGCCACGGGGGAUAAACAGACCUCUGGGCUGUUUGGGGCUGAAGUGUGGGUCAGCGAGCUGGGCGAGGGGCGAGGAUGACCAGUCCAGGGGAUCCAGAGCAGUUAUUUAGGUGGAGAAGCAGAAGAGGUGUGAAAAACAUUGCCCAUUUCUGACUUCUAUCUUGGAAUUUAUCAUUGCAAGCUAGCCUGCCGGAAGGAUGUGGAGUAGAGCUAUGGUGUCCCCACAGAAGCCAUUACAAACCAGUUAUCAGGGCCAGUGCUGUGGUGCAGUGGGUUAAGCUGCUGUCUGCAGUGCCAGCAUCCCACAUGGGUACCACUUUGAAUCCUGGCUGCUCUACUUCUUCUCUUUUUAUUUUUUAAGAUUUAUUUAUUUGCAAGGCAGAGGCACAGAGAGGCAGAAGGAGAGAGAGAGAGGUCUUCCAUCUGCUGUUUCACUCCCCACAUGGCCGCAACGGCCGGAGCUGCACUGAUCCGAAGCCAGGAGCCAGGAGCUUCCUCCAGGUUUCCCACACAGGUGCAGGGGCCUAAGCACUUGGGCCAUCUUCCACUGAUUUUCCAGGCCAUAGCAGAGAACUGGAUUGGAAGUGGAGCAGACAUGGCUUGAACCGGUGCCCAUAUGGGAUGCUGGCAUUGCAGGCAGCGGCUUUACCCUCUAUGCCAAAGCACUGGCUCCUCCAUUUCUGAUUCAACUCCCUUCUAAUGCACCUGGGAAAGCAACUGUGGAUGGUUCAAGUGCUUGGGCCCCUGCACCCAUGUGGGAGAUGUAGAAGAAGCUCCUGGCUUUAGCCUGGUCCAGCCCUGACUGUUAUGGCCAUUUGUAGAGUGAACUAACGGAUGGAAGAUCUCUCUCUCUGAUUUUCAAAUAAAAUAAAUAAAUAAAUAAACUAGUUAUCUCCCAAUCAACCUACCUACUGGGACAGAUGCAUGAAUCAGCCCAGGGAAGCCCAGCCCAACCCAAGUCUGAUCAGCAAGACCACAACCCUGAGACUUAGGUGAAAUAAUUAACAGAUGUUGGGGCUGGCACUAUAGUGGAGUAGGCUAAGUCUCUACCUGCGGCACCAGCAUUCCAUAUGGGUGCCAGUUCAUGUUCCAGCCGCUCCUCUUUCAAUCCAGCUCUCUGCUAAUGCAUUUGGGAAACAGCGGAAGAUGGUCCAAGUGCUUGGGCCCCUGCACUCAAGUGGGAGACCCAGAAGAAGCUCCUGGCUCCUGGCUUCAGAUCGGCGCAGCUCCGGCCAUUGCAGUCAUUUGGGGAGUGAGCCAGCGGGUGGAAGAUCUCUCUUUGUCCAGUCCUCGCUCUGGGGGCUCUGUAACUCUCUCUCUCAAAUAA